rnacentral:misc_RNA from 1 species
GAAAUGCGAUAAGUAAUGUGAAUUGCAGAAUUCAGUGAAUCAUCGAAUCUUUGAACGCACAUUGCGCCCGCCAGCACUCUGGCGGGCAUGCCUGUUCGAGCGUCAUUUCAACCCUCAGAACCCCUUGCGGGAUCUGGCGUUGGGGAUUGGAAUCCAGCCAGCCCCGAAAUCUAGUGGCGGUCCCUCCGCGACCUCCCCUGUGCAGUAGCGAUACCUCGCAGCGGGACAGCGGUCUGACCACGCCGUAAAACCCCCAACUUCUCAAGGUUGACCUCGAAUCAGGUAGGAAUACCCGCUGAACUUAAGC